rnacentral:rRNA from 1 species
GACAGAGGGUGCAAACGUUGUUCGGAAUUACUGGGCGUAAAGCGCACGUAGGCGGAUACUUAAGUCAGGGGUGAAAUCCCGGGGCUCAACCCCGGAACUGCCUUUGAUACUGGGUAUCUCGAGUCCGGAAGAGGUGAGUGGAAUUCCGAGUGUAGAGGUGAAAUUCGUAGAUAUUCGGAGGAACACCAGUGGCGAAGGCGGCUCACUGGUCCGGUACUGACGCUGAGGUGCGAAAGCGUGGGGAGCGAUCCGG